GAGGGUGUAGCUCAGUGGUAGAGUGCGUGCUUAGCAUGCACAAGGUCCUGGGUUCAAUCCCCAGUACCUCCA
rnacentral:tRNA from 1 species